rnacentral:rRNA from 1 species
UUAAGCUACCAAGGGCAUAUGGUGGAUGCCUAGGCGUUCCGAGUCGAUGAAGGACGCGAUAAGCUGCGAUAAGCUGAGGCGAGCUGCAAGUAAGCUUUGACCCUCAGAUUUCCGAAUGGGGCAACCCGGUACGAGUCAUGUCGUAUUACCUACGCUAGGCGUAGGGGACACACCUGGUGAACUGAAACAUCUAAGUAGCCAGAGGAAAAGUAAUCAAAAGAGAUUCCCCCAGUAGCGGCGAGCGAAAAGGGAAGAGCCCAAACCGGGAGACUUCGGUCACCCGGGGUUGAGGACCGGCAUAAAAGGAAGAGAUUCUAGCUGAAGCUUCUGGGAAGGAGCGGCGCAGAAGGUGAAACCCCCGUAAGCGAAAGAACCUCCAAUGGGCCGGUAUCCAGAGUACCACGAGACACGUGAAACCUUGUGGGAAGCAGGGUGGACCACCAUCCAAGGCAAAAUACUACGGAACGACCGAUAGCGCAUAGUACCGUGAGGGAAAGGUGAAAAGGACCCCGGGAGGGGAGUGAAAUAGAACCUGAAACCGUAUGUCUACAAGCAGUCGAAGCACUUUAUAUGUGCGACGGCGUGCCUAUUGAAGAAUGAACCGGCGAGUUAAUCUAUGUGGCAAGGUUAAGCGGAAGACGCGGAGCCGAAGCGAAAGCGAGUCUUAACAGGGCGCAAGUCACAUGGAUUAGACCCGAAACCACAGUGAUCUAUGCAUGGCCAGGUUGAAGCUCAGGUAAAAAUGAGUGGAGGACCGAACCCGUGAGUGUUGAAAAACUUUGGGAUGAGCUGUGCAUAGGGGUGAAAUGCCAAUCGAACGUGGAGAUAGCUGGUUCUCCCCGAAAUAGCUUUAGGGCUAGCCUCAGGCGACACAUACAGACGGUAGAGCACUGAUCGGACGCGGGUCUGUAAUGGAUACCAACUCCAGUCAAACUGCGAAUGGCUGUAUGAGAAGAACCUGGGAGUCAGAGUGCGAGUGAUAAGACCCGUACUCAAGAGGGAAACAGCCCAGACCGCCGACUAAGGUCCCCAAUGCUGUACUAAGUGGAAAAGGAUGUAGGACUUCAUAAACAACCAGGAUGUUGGCUCAGAAGCAGCCACCAUUCAAAGAGUGCGUAAUAGCUCACUGGUCGAGAGGCCCUGCGCCGAAAAUAUCCGGGGCUCAAGUACAGAACCGAAGUCGCGGCAGACGCAAGUCUGGGUAGGGGAGCGUUCCAAGGGCGUUGAAGGUUGACCGCAAGGACAGCUGGAGCGCUUGGAAGUGAGAAUGCUGGUAUGAGUAGCGAAACGGUCAGUGAGAAUCUGACCCACCGAAAGCCUAAGGGAUCCUGGGCAACGCUCGUCGUCCCAGGGUAAGUCGGGACCUAAGCCGAGGCAGCAAGCAUAGGCGAUGGACAACAGGCAAAAAUUCCUGUACCGCAUGGAACCGUUUGAGGAUGGAGUGACGCAGCAAGGAGCUUGAGCCGGCGAUUGGAAAUGCCGGUCGAAGGCGGUAGGCUGGUGAGGAGGCAAAUCCCCUCACUGCAAGGCCGAGAACUGAUAGAUAGGGAUUCCUACGGGAUGAACAAAUUCAAGCGUACUACACUGCCGAGAAAAGCUUCUAACGAGGUGAAAUGCGCCCGUACCAAAACCGACACAGGUAGGCGGGGAGAGAAUCCUAAGGUGCGCGGGAGAACCCUCCUUAAGGAACUCGGCAAAAUGCAUCCGUAACUUCGGGAGAAGGAUGGCCGGAGUUGGUGAAAUCACAUAGUGGCGUAUGAAACCACAUAUAUAUGCUGAUGGAGCUGAAGCCGGCGACAGAAGAGAAGCCCAAGCGACUGUUUACCACAAACACAGGUGCCUGCUAAAGAGAAAUCUGACGUAUAGGUGCUGACACCUGCCCGGUGCUGGAAGGUUAAGAGGAAGGGUCAGGCGCAAGCUGAAGCUCUGAAUUGAAGCCCCAGUAAACGGCGGCCGUAACUAUAACGGUCCUAAGGUAGCGAAAUUCCUUGUCGGGUAAGUUCCGACCCGCACGAAAGGUGUAACGAUUUGGGCACUGUCUCAAGGAGGGACCCGGUGAAAUUGAAAUACCUGUGAAGAUGCAGGUUACCCGCGACUGGACAGAAAGACCCCAUGGAGCUUUACUGCAGCCUGACAUUGAUUUUUGGCAUGUAACGUACAGGAUAGCUGGGAGACGGAGAACCCUGAUCGCCAGAUUAGGGGGAGUCAUUGUUGGGAUACCAGCCUUUGCGUGUUAGGAAUCUAACUCCGGGAUUAACAAAACCGAGGACAGUAUCAGGUGGGCAGUUUGACUGGGGCGGUCGCCUCCGAAAGAGUAACGGAGGCGUCCAAAGGUUCCCUCAGCGCGGACAGAAAUCGCGCGAAGAGUAUAAAGGCAGAAGGGAGCUUGACUGCGAGACAUACAGGUCGAGCAGGUACGAAAGUAGGGCUUAGUGAUCCGGUGGAAUGAGAGUGGAAUUGCCAUCGCUCAACGGAUAAAAGCUACCCUGGGGAUAACAGGCUAAUCUCUCCCAAGAGUCCAUAUCGACGGGGAGGUUUGGCACCUCGAUGUCGGCUCAUCACAUCCUGGGGCUGAAGCAGGUCCCAAGGGUUGGGCUGUUCGCCCAUUAAAGUGGUACGUGAGCUGGGUUCAGAACGUCGUGAGACAGUUCGGUCCAUAUCCAUCGCGGGCGCAAGAUACAUGAGGGAGACUGCUCCUAGUACGAGAGGACCGGAGUGGACGGACCGCCGGUGAACCAGUCAUGCCGCCAGGUGUGCAGCUGGGCAGCUGCGUCCGGAAGGGAUAAACGCUGAAAGCAUCUAAGCGUGAAGCCCGUCCCGAGAUGAAGUAUCUCAUAGCAUAAGCUAGUAAGACACCUUGAAGAAGACAAGGUUGAUAGGGUAGGUGUGGAAGUGCCGUGAGGCAUGAAGCUAACUACUACUAAUAUGUCGAGGGCUUAACUUA